UUUUAAGAAUCGAAAUCAGACAUCACAUAUGUGCAUGAGUAGAAGUGAAUCAACUCAUUGAAAAAUGCUUAAUGCGAGACUAGCGAACAAUACAGUCAGGAUGGCUAAAGGUGACCCCAAGAAACCAAAGGGCAAGAUGUCUGCUUAUGCCUUCUUUGUGCAGACGUGCAGAGAAGAACAUAAGAAAAACCCAGAGGUCCCUGUCAAUUUUGCAGAAUUUUCCAAGAAGUGCUGUGAGAGGUGGAAGACAAUGUCCGGGAAAGAGAAAUCUAAAUUUGAUGAAAUGGCAAAGGCAGAUAAAGUGCUCUAUGAUCGGGAAAUGAAGGAUUAUGGACCAGCUAAGGGAGGCAAGAAGAAGGAGGAUCCUAAUGCUCCCAAAAGGCCACCGUCUGGAUUCUUCCUGUUCUGUUCAGAAUUCCACCCCAAGAUCAAAUCCACAAACCCCGACAUCUCUAUUGGAGACGUGGCAAAAAAGCUGGGUGAGAUGUGGAAUAAUUUAAAUGACAGUGACAAGCAGCCUUACAUCACUAAGGCAGCAAAGCUGAAGGAGAAGUAUGAGAAGGAUGCUGCUGACUAUAAGUCGAAAGGAAAGUUUGAUGGUGCAAAGGGUCCUGCUAAAGUUGCCUGGAAAAAGGUUGAAGAGGAAGAUGAAGAGGAGGAGGAAGAAGAGAAGAAGAGGAGGAGGAGGAGGAUGAUGAAUAA